GCAAGUCGAACGCUAUCUUGUAUAGAGUGGCGCACGGGUGAGUAACGCGUGGGAACCUACCUUUCUCUGCGGGACAACGGCUGGAAACGGCCGCUAAUACCGCAUACGCCCUACGGGGGAAAGGUCAGCCGGAGAAAGAGGGGCCCGCGUUAGAUUAGCUAGUUGGUGGGGUAAUGGCCUACCAAGGCGACGAUCUAUAGCUGGUCUGAGAGGAUGAUCAGCCACACUGGGACUGAGACACGGCCCAGACUCCUACGGGAGGCAGCAGUGGGGAAUAUUGGACAAUGGGGGCAACCCUGAUCCAGCAAUGCCGCGUGUGUGAUGAAGGCCCUAGGGUUGUAAAGCACUUUCACUGGUGAAGAUGAUGACGGUAACCAGAGAAGAAGCCCCGGCUAACUUCGUGCCAGCAGCCGCGGUAAUACGAAGGGGGCGAGCGUUGUUCGGAAUUACUGGGCGUAAAGGGCGCGUAGGCGGCUCUUUAAGUUAGGCGUGAAAGCCCCGGGCCCAACCUGGGAACUGCGCUUAAGACUGGAGAGCUAUAAAACGGAAGAGGGUAGUGGAAUUCCCAGUGUAGAGGUGAAAUUCGCAGAUAUUGGGAAGAAC
rnacentral:rRNA from 1 species